AUGUAUAUCACUAUGAAUGUGCCCGAUCUUGUCUGACCUGGGAAACUAAGGUGUGUUGAGCAUGGAUAGCACUUGGGUGGGUGAGCACAAUUCACAACAGGUGCUAUA
rnacentral:rRNA from 1 species